UGGGGAAUUGUUCGCAAUGGGCGCAAGCCUGACGACGCAAUGCCGCGUGGAGGAUGAAGAUCUUCGGGUCGUAAACUCCUGUCGAGCGGGACGAAUGGCCCGGGACCUAAUACGUUCCGGGAGUGACGGUACCGCUAAAGGAAGCCCCGGCUAACUCCGUGCCAGCAGCCGCGGUAAUACGGGGGGGGCAAGCGUUGUUCGGAAUUACUGGGCGUAAAGGGCGCGUAGGCGGCCCUCUAAGUCGGACGUGAAAUCCCUCGGCUCAACCGGGGAACUGCGUCCGAUACUGGAGGGCUUGGAUCCGGGAGAGGGAUGCGGAAUUCCAGGUGUAGCGGUGAAAUGCGUAGAUAUCUGGAGGAACACCGGUGGCGAAGGCGGCAUCCUGGACCGGCAUCGACGCUGAGGCGCGAAAGCCAGGGGAGCAAACG
rnacentral:rRNA from 1 species